GCAUGAUUUUCUUAUCAAAGAUUUAUUGCUUUGAGAUGGACCCGCGGCGCAUUAGCUAGUUGGUAAGGUAACGGCUUACCAAGGCAACGAUGCGUAGCCGACCUGAGAGGGUGAUCGGCCACAUUGGAACUGAGACACGGUCCAGACUCCUACGGGAGGCAGCAGUGGGGAAUAUUGCGCAAUGGGGGAAACCCUGACGCAGCAACGCCGCGUGGGUGAUGAAGGUCUUCGGAUUGUAAAGCCCUGUUUUCUAGGACGAUAAUGACGGUACUAGAGGAGGAAGCCACGGCUAACUACGUGCCAGCAGCCGCGGUAAUACGUAGGUGGCGAGCGUUGUCCGGAUUUACUGGGCGUAAAGGGUGCGUAGGCGGAUGUUUAAGUGGGAUGUGAAAUCCCCGGGCUUAACCUGGGGGCUGCAUUCCAAACUGGAUAUCUAGAGUGCAGGAGAGGAAAGCGGAAUUCCUAGUGUAGCGGUGAAAUGCGUAGAGAUUAGGAAGAACACCAGUGGCGAAGGCGGCUUUCUGGACUGUAACUGACGCUGAGGCACGAAAGCGUGGGUAGCAAACAGGAUUAGAUACCCUGGUAGUCCACGCCGUAAACGAUGGAUACUAGGUGUAGGGGGUAUCAACUCCCCCUGUGCCGCAGUUAACACAAUAAGUAUCCCGCCUGGGGAGUACGGUCGCAAGAUUAAAACUCAAAGGAAUUGACGGGGGCCCGCACAAGCAGCGGAGCAUGUGGUUUAAUUCGAAGCAACGCGAAGAACCUUACCUGGACUUGACAUCCCUUGCAUAGCCUAGAGAUAGGUGAAGCCCUUCGGGGCAAGGAGACAGGUGGUGCAUGGUUGUCGUCAGCUCGUGUCGUGAGAUGUUAGGUUAAGUCCUGCAACGAGCGCAACCCUUGUUAUUAGUUGCUACCAUUAAGUUGAGCACUCUAAUGAGACUGCCUGGGUAACCAGGAGGAAGGUGGGGAUGACGUCAAAUCAUCAUGCCCCUUAUGUCCAGGGCUACACACGUGCUACAAUGGUAGGUACAAUAAGACGCAAGACCGUGAGGUGGAGCAAAACUUAUAAAACCUAUCUCAGUUCGGAUUGUAGGCUGCAACUCGCCUACAUGAAGCUGGAGUUGCUAGUAAUCGCGAAUCAGAAUGUCGCGGUGAAUACGUUCCCGGGCCUUGUACACACCGCCCGUCACACCAUGAGAGCUGGUAACACCCGAAGUCCGUGAGGUAACCGUAAGGAGCCAGCGGCCGAAGGUGGGAUUAGUGAUUGGGGUGAAGUCGUAACAAGGUAGCCGUAGGAGAACCUGCGGCUGGAUCACCUCCUUUCUA
rnacentral:rRNA from 1 species